CUCCUUGUGAAUUACUUCGAUGAAAAAUCUAUUUUAUGAUAUUUUGAAAGAAUUGCCCUUUAGUUAAAGGCUUUUGGUCUUUUAUGCUUUCCAGUUUCCAAAGUGAUCAAAAGACCGUAGGUGCUCUUUUGUGUAAAUCAUAAGUCAAAAAAGUGUGUUAAGUGUAAAUAUUCAACUUUGUACUAUAGCUGGCCUAAAAAUAUUGCAAACCUUUCUAAUCCGGAUUGUGAUUUGUGACAUUUUAGUUAAGAAAAUAAAAUAAUCUUUACAUACUCAUUUCGAACUUGAGAUUGAUAAAAUAAUUUUUUAUGCUUUAAGACACAUUCCCACUUUCAAUUUACACGAUCAAACGCAUGUUGCUGGAGGCACACUUUCUGUGUGUUGGUUGUCUCUUAUACUCCCAAUUUCGUUUCUCCUCAACAUUCGUUCUUUCGUAACUAUAACAACAAUCCAAUUAGACACACAUCUCAAUUAAAGAAAUAUAGCAAAAUACAAUUCAUCCCUUAUUUCUCAUAUUUUGAGACAAAUUUUGAAAUCACUUUCAUAGUUUUUCAAACCCUAAUUGCGACGAUCCCCUUUCAUCUUUUAUCCCCGAACCUCGUUCAGCUUCGAGUAACCAUGGCGAAAUCGAAGUCAAAGAAGAAAGGGAACCUCAAUAGUCAACCUUCUUCACCGCAGAUCGAUCGGAGGUUUUAUAUUUUGAAUUCCUUAACUCUUGUUGACUUUCAAGAGUUUUCAAAAUCCUUAACUUUUUCUGUUUUUUUCUUGUUUUUAUUGUUUAUGUUAUAAUUUCCAAUUGAAUCGAAUCUCUUGAGAUUUUGUGGACGGGAGAGAUGACGAGCAGAUCCGAGAGCUCCGGUGUGAAGAGGACGACGCGACAACGAGCAGGUCUGAGCUUCGUUGUGGUGAGGAUGACAGGACGGCCAGCAGAUUCGAGCUCUGGUGUGGAGAUGACGCGGCGACGAGCAGGUCCGACCUCCGUUGUGAAAAAGAAGACGACAAGCUCUUGUGGUGUGAAGAUAGAUUUUUGGGCCAAACUUGACACGACCACAGCAAGAAUCCAUGGAUGAUGCAGCAAGAUAUUUUGACUACAUGACCACAUCAAGAACAACGUCCUAAACAUCAAUCUUGUUCCCACCCAUUAAGAGUCCAUGGAUGAUGCAGCUUAACACUUCCUAUCCAGACUCCAAAGCGUGGUCUAUCUACUUUCACUUGAUCUUGCAUUUCACAACUAUGUCAACAUAUGUAAUUAUUAUAGACCAAACUUGGUGAAAGUAUGGAUGUUAACGUUUUAGUAUUAGUGUCCAACUUUGAUGUUCAUGUCCACAUAUAGUUUAUAACUCUAUUAUCUAAAUAUCCAUAUCCACAUUUUUAUA